AUCUCAGACUUGCAUAUAAACACAUAUAUCCAUCACAAUGUUUAUCUUUGCGCGUUAUGUUCUUACCGAAAGUCCAUGAUAUCAUUUACUAAUACAUAUGCUUAGAAUUAAACAUAUACGUCGUGUCUUGAUUAAUCAACAUACCUGGUCAUGCCUAUUUGUUUUUUUCCCCAUUAUACAUCUAUCUAAAUGUGUUCCGCUAGGCGAAUGCAUUGGUGAGGCUUGAAGAGAAGUCCGAUCAUUAUUGAAAGCUUUGGUCCAAUUGUCCCGAAUUUCAGAAAAGAGUGAAGAAGCUACUAGAGAAGGUAACUUCAGGCCCAUUUGAACUUUAUUCAUAUUAGCUAAAUCUUUUUUUUGCCCCUUUUUUGCCCUUUUUAACGUGGAUUUCUUUCGGCAACGUUCCAUUGUAAUUCGACGACUUGCAGGAGGGAAGAUAUCAGGACCUUCUCUUGGAACAUGGAGUAUUCCUCCAGUAAUUGAAGAUGAGGAUUUCUAUAGAUCUCAAAUUUUGAAUUCCAAGUGAUAAGUUGGACCUGCAGGCUCACAGAUAAUCAACUGAAGGUAAUGCAAAACCUCAUCAAUUUUUGCAACCUAUUGGAUUGAAUAUGAGAUGGUUACUGUUUAUUAAACAGACAAUUAAUUAGGUGAUGCUUGUUAACCCAUUAAUUUCUGUUUUUCUGUUUAAUUUUUUUCACAAAAAUAAAAACUUGUUUGUGUUAUUUAUAAUUGUAAAUAAAGCAAAAUUAUUACCACUAUUUUUGAAAAUAAUGAUAACAAAAAAAAAAUCUAUUAUUUUUUUUACAAAAUCACCGCCUCUACAUCCCUCUCACCCAACCCUUCACCGCUGCCACCGCCUCCGCCACCGCCCCGCCACCACGCCGCUGACUAUACACCAACUUGCCUUGGUGCCUAUGGCUGAGCUUGCUAUAUAACUUAGGCGAUAACAGUUUGAGUACCUAGACCCUCACCUUCACCAACCUUUCUAUGUCGGAGUAUUUUCCCUCUCCUCUCUCCCUUUCUAAUAAACACAAUGGUCUAACUCCUCUAUAUUCUUCUCUCAGUUUUGCAAAGUUGAUAGAUGCCCAUUCACUGUCUGCUCAUCUUCUUUUCGCCAAACCCAUCAAGUACUUGCACCUAUUUGAUGAAGCAGCUAUCAAGGCGGCUCAGGUAUUACAACUGUCUACAAAUUCUGCCUCCAUGUAUUGUAUAUACGAUGUAUGUAUACAUAUACGUUUAAUUUCUCAAGUCAAUUAGGUACUAUUAGGCAACGCGUUAUGUUGUACUUUGCUUAUUUUCAAUUAUGAUGAUUUGAAUUUUUGAGUUAUAAGUAGUGACCGUUUUGUAUCUCUCAAAUACAUAUCUUCACGCCUUUAAAUCUUGAAGUACGUAACAAACAUUUGAAAUCUUGUAUAUUUAUCUUGGCAAUAAUUAACUUGAGUUUGAAAUUUUUCGGGUUCAAUUUCAAACUCAAGUUAAUUAGGUUAUGAUAGACAACGCCUUAUGUUGUAUUUUCUCUAUUUCGUAUUAUGGCUGAUUUGAAUAUUUUGUAAUAAGUAGUGACGUUAUGCAUUUUUUUUGUUUUGGCGAAGACCUAAUUCCAUUGACUAUCGGGCUAAACUUCAACCACAAAUUAUUUAGGUAUUAUUUGACAAUGCUUUAUGUUGAACUUUGUUUAUUUCAAGUUAUGCUGAUUUGAAUUUUUGAGUAAUGAGUAGUGACUGUUUUGCAUUUAUUGUGUUGUGCGAGAACUGAUGCUAUUACCAAGUACUCUCAAAUACAUAUCUCCACGCCUUUAAAUAUUGAGGUACGUAACAAACAUUUGAAAUUGUAUAUUUAUUUUGUACAAUAAUUAACUUGAGCUUGAAAUUUUCCGGGUUUAAUUUCAAACUCAAGUUAAUUAGGUUAUGUUAGACGACGCCUUAUAUUGUAUUUUCUCUAUUUCAAGUUAUGCUGAUUUGAAUAUUUGUGUAAUAAGUAGUGAC
rnacentral:lncRNA from 1 species